CAAACCCUAAAACCAAUUCCCCUUCUCCCAUCUCUCACAUUCGGUUCUCCCCUCCCCCGCCGACGCAAUCUACCCCACCGCGCCCCGCCCCUCCCACCGCUGCGAUCUGCUUCGCCGGACCACCCCGCUCCCUUCCACCGCCGCGAUCUGCCCCCUCCCAUGUCCACACCGGUUCUUUCUCUCCCAAAAUUCUCAAAUCCUAAUUUCACAGACUCUCAUCUCCUGCUUCAAUUCGCUGCAGUCCGGUCCUCUGAGGCGCGACAAGACCCCGCCGCACCGCCUUCACCCGCCGUCGCGCCGCCCUGCCCAUCGCGACCAGAGCAGUCCGCCAGUUGCGCGCUUCGAUUCGCUGCAGUCCGGUCCUCUGGGGCGCGACAAGACCCCGCCGCACCGCCUUCAGCCGCCGUCGCGCCGCCCUGCCCGUCGCGACCAGAGCAGUCCGCCAGUUGCGCGCCAGGUAGGAUUCUAAUUUUUAUAACAAAGGAAACUUAAACCCUAGGUUUUUAUCUAUAAAUUCAUUACCUUGAAUUAUUAACGCCA
rnacentral:lncRNA from 1 species